rnacentral:rRNA from 1 species
AUGUCGUCGUGGGCGCAGCACUCGCGGCGGGGCUGGAGGCACGGCUGGGCGGCGACGCUGCCGCCGUGGCGCCUGCUGGCCUUCUUCGCCAUCGUGGUCUCCUUCCUGGCCACCUCCUCCUACGUCGACUACCGGGCCGUGGAGCGCCGUGCCGAGAUCGGGGCACGCGUCUUCGCCGCGCCGCUCGCCGCCAUGGCCGCCUUCCUCCUCUUCGCCGCGCUCGGGUACUGGCGCCGCCGUACCCGCUGGGCGCUCCGACGCCACGCCAUUAACGCCCAGCCGGCCGUGGCACCGUCGCAGUCGUCGGGGGCGUCUCCGUGGGGCGUGGCGGCGAUGGUGGCGGUGCUGCUGGUGAUGGUGACGUUCCAGCCCUCCGUGCACUCCAUGUGGUUCAGGCCGCUCUGGAGUUCAGACUACAGCUAG